GUCUGUUUUCCUGCCUUUCUCAACUGCCACAUUUUGGAUUAUCUGUUUAGGGACUUAGUAACCUUUUGCCUAGUUUGGAUUACCUUAUUUUGUAGAUCUCCUUGGUUUGUGUUGGACUGCCUCACUUUGAGUGCCUGGACUUAUUUGUCUGGCUGUGCUGACUGCUGCAGGUCUGGCUGUGCUGACUGUUGCAGGUGCGGCUGUGUUGCUGACUGGACUGCUUGUUUCUGCAGACUCCUCUCUGUCUGUGCUCAGACUCUGCUGCCAUCUAGUGGUCUUCUGUCCAUACUGCGUCUCUACUGGUCUGAUGCUGUCCAUCUGCUGCAGCAGGAAGACAGGAAACAAACCAGCCGUCUCCAUGGAGAUGACCCAGCGGGUUGGAGGAAGUGAUAAAUUGGAUGGAGAGUGUGAUGACAUCACUGCUGAUGUCACCACUGAGCAUGACUGAUCUGAAGUUAGCUCCUGGAUCAGUUUGAAUGAUAACUGUCUAACUCAUGAUCAUCUUUUCUUCUUCAGUUUCUUUAUUUUUCAGUGGUCAGAAACAUAAUGUAAAGAGAACAUUUACAAAUAAACACAUAAGGUACUAGCUUA